rnacentral:rRNA from 1 species
CCUACGGGAGGCAGCAGUGAGGAAUAUUGGUCAAUGGGCGCGAGCCUGAACCAGCCAAGUAGCGUGAAGGAGGACUGCCCUACGGGUUGUAAACUUCUUUUAUAAAGGAAUAAAGUGAGGCACGUGUGCCAUUUGUUAUGUACUGUAUGAAUAAGGAUCGGCUAACUCCGUGCCAGCAGCCGCGGUAAUACGGAGGAUCCGAGCCUUCUCCGGAUUUAUUGGGGUUAAAGGGAGCGUAGAUGGGUUGUUAAGUCAGUUGUGAAAGUUUGCGGCUCAACCGUAAAAUUGCAAUUGAUACUGGCAGCCUUGAGUACAGUUGAGGUAGGCGGAAUUCGUGGUGUAGCGGUGAAAUGCUUAGAUAUCACGAAGAACUCCGAUUGCGAAGGCAGCUUACUAAACUGCCACUGACAUUGAUGCUCGAAAGUGUGGGUAUCAAACAGGAUUAGAUACCCGGGUAGUC